GACGGAGGAUGCAAGUGUUAUCCGGAAUCACUGGGCGUAAAGCGUCUGUAGGUGGUUUAAUAAGUCGAAUGUUAAAUCUUGGGGCUUAACCUCAAAACUGCAUUCGAAACUAUUAGACUAGAGUAUAGUAGAGGUAAAGGGAAUUUCCAGUGGAGCGGUGAAAUGCGUAGAUAUUGGAAAGAACACCGAUGGCGAAGGCACUUUACUGGGCUAUUACUAACACUCAGAGACGAAAGCUAGGGUAGCAAAUGGG
rnacentral:rRNA from 1 species